rnacentral:rRNA from 1 species
AGCAGCCGCGGUAAUUCCAGCUCCAAUAGCGUAUAUUAAAGUUGCUGCAGUUAAAAAGCUCGUAGUUGAAUUUCGGGAUCAAUAUGUUGGUCGUGCCUUGGUGCGUACUAGUUUAUUGAUUUCUCCCUUCUGACGAACUAUGAUGCCAUUAAUUUGGUGUCAUGGGGAAUCAGGACUGUUACUUUGAAAAAAUUAGAGUGUUUAAAGCAGGCUCACGCUUGAAUACAUUAGCAUGGAAUAAUAAAAUAGGACGUUUGAUUCUAUUUUGUUGGUUUCUAGGAUUGACGUAAUGAUUAAUAGGGAUAGUUGGGGGCAUUAGUAUUCAAUUGUCAGAGGUGAAAUUCUUGGAUUUAUUGAAGACUAACUACUGCGAAAGCAUUUGCCAAGGAUGUUUUCAUUAAUCAAGAACGAAAGUUAGGGGAUCGAAGACGAUCAGAUACCGUCGUAGUC